rnacentral:rRNA from 1 species
GUGAAGCGGGAAAAGCUCAAAUUUAAAAUCUGGCGGUCUAUGGCUGUCCGAGUUGUAAUCUAGAGAAGUAAUGCCCGCGCUGGACCGUGUACAAGUCUCCUGGAAUGGAGCGUCAUAGAGGGUGAGAAUCCCGUCUCUGACACGGACUACCAGGGCUUUGUGGUAUGCUCUCAAAGAGUCGAGUUGUUUGGGAAUGCAGCUCUAAAUGGGUGGUAAAUUCCAUCUAAAGCUAAAUAUUGGCGAGAGACCGAUAGCGAACAAGUACCGUGAGGGAAAGAUGAAAAGAACUUUGGAAAGAGAGUUAAACAGUACGUGAAAUUGCUGAAAGGGAAACGCUUGAAGUCAGUCGCGUUAGCUAGGAAUCAGCCUUGCUUUUGCUUGGUGUAUUUUCUGGUUGACGGGUCAGCAUCAAUUUUGACUGCUGGAAAAAGGCCUUGGGAAUGUGGCAGCUUUGGCUGUGUUAUAGCCCUUGGUCACAUACAGCAGUUGGGAUUGAGGAACUCAGCACGCCGCAAGGCCGGGUUUCGACCACGUUCGUGCUUAGGAUGCUGGCAUAAUGGCUUUAAGCGACCCGUCUUGAAACACGGACCAAGGAGUCUAACAUGCCUGCGAGUGUUUGGGUGGUAAACCCUUGCGCGUAAUGAAAGUGAAAGUUGAGAUCCCUGUCGUGGGGAGCAUCGACGCCCGGACUUGAACUUUUGUGACGGAUCCGCGGUAGAGCAUGUAUGUUGGGACCCGAAAGAUGGUGAACUAUGCCUGAAUAGGGUGAAGCCAGAGGAAACUCUGGUGGA